rnacentral:lncRNA from 1 species
GGGCUUAUAGCUAUCACUUAGGUGUUGGGCAGUUGAAAAACAAAACACUUAAGUCGAGCACUAUGCUACCUGCUCUUUGAUCAACUAUUAUUCUAGAGUUUUGCAAGAUUUUCAAAUAAAACUUAGAGUUUCCUUGUAUGACACUUUCCAGUCUCUCAUAUGUGGUAUUUUUGGAUCCUCUCCAAGGCAAGUGAGUAUGCCUUCUCUCUGCUCUUAGAAUAUGUGGUAUUUGUAUCACUAAGACAUAGUUGCCUUCUCUCUCACCCUACUUCUAAUUGGCUUAUGUGGAGCUCAUAGGUGGGAAAGACAAUUCAAACCUACUUGCAUGUAUUGCAUAGUUAAACGAUGGAUCUAGAGAAACUAAUUAUACAAUCAAGUCAUAUAUGCAUUUGAGUGUAGUGAAUGAAGUGAAUGAUAAGAAUGAAAAUGGUAAUGAGGGGUGUGUUGAUAUUUGGGAACGCAAUAAGGAGUUGAUCCGCAAGCGCACGGAUAUCGGUUAGGACUUCACCCGGGAGGUUAUCGAGAGUAUCGUAUUUAUAUUUUUACCACUAGGAGAAAGAGUGCAUCUGACUAACCUAGUCUAUUACUACUUACCUUUAGGCUACAAAGAAUGUUUCUCGAUGUGAGUGAUAUAUAGAGAAGACUACAACCGUAAUCUCUUUCUAACCUUGGUAAGGAUGAUCUACUGUUCUAUUGGGGAAGCUUACCGAAUCUAGACACCACAGAGGUUGUUCAACGCGCACCUAUAAACCCUAUCCUUCUUGCUAACGAGAUAUGGUCUGCAAAGGUAACUCGGAAAUGUCACGUUCCUCGCUACUACCACGGUCCAGCUAGUCAGGGAAUAUCUAUGAGUAUCCUAGCCCAAACACCACGUCUACGCUAG